CUGCCCACAGCCCAGUUGCCCCUUCCACUGUGAACUUUCCCCUAGGCCUGUGAGUGCUUGUCUGCCAGCUGCAGACUGUGGACAACUCACCCUCAGAUUCCUGCCCCUGGAUCAGCUGAGAACUUAAGCUGCUUACCCAUGACCUGCUUACCCAGGUUUGGUGUAGAGAUUACUGAUGAAGAGUUUGAGUUGCUACUUGACAGAAUCCUCCUUGAUGAAGAUGGAAAUGUCAGAUACCCCCAAUUCAUCACCAUGUUUGAUUCCUGGCGUGCAUAGGAGGUGAAGAUGGAUUCUCUGCUUUUCAAUUUGGGCAGGACAUUAUUGAAUAGUGAACAUGAUAAAGAGAAUGGCUAAUUUAAUCUUAUUUUUUCUGUUAGUCACAUUGAGACGAUUUCAAGCAAGUACAAGAUCAAGGAUCCAUUAGACCUCUUUUUGGGAGGGAGAGGGGUAACUUUUGUGGGUUUCAAUAGAGCUCCAAAAGUGC